rnacentral:rRNA from 1 species
UAGCAUAUCAAUAAGCGGAGGAAAAGAAACCAACAGGGAUUGCCCUAGUAACGGCGAGUGAAGCGGCAACAGCUCAAAUUUGAAAUCUGGCUCUUUCAGGGUCCGAGUUGUAAUUUGCAGAGGGCGCUUUGGCUUUGGCAGCGGUCCAAGUUCCUUGGAACAGGACGUCACAGAGGGUGAGAAUCCCGUACGUGGUCGCUAGCUAUUGCCGUGUAAAGCCCCUUCGACGAGUCGAGUUGUUUGGGAAUGCAGCUCUAAAUGGGAGGUAAAUUUCUUCUAAAGCUAAAUACUGGCCAGAGACCGAUAGCGCACAAGUAGAGUGAUCGAAAGAUGAAAAGCACUUUGGAAAGAGAGUCAAACAGCACGUGAAAUUGUUGAAAGGGAAGCGCUUGCAGCCAGACUUGCUUGCAGUUGCUCAUCCGGGCUUUUGCCCGGUGCACUCUUCUGCAGGCAGGCCAGCAUCAGUUUGGGCGGUGGGAUAAAGGUCUCUGUCACGUACCUCUCUUCGGGGAGGCCUUAUAGGGGAGGCGACAUACCACCAGCCUGGACUGAGGUCCGCGCAUUUGCUAGGAUGCUGGCGUAAUGGCUGUAAGCGGCCCGUCUUGAAACACGGACCAAGGAGUCUAACAUCUAUGCGAGUGUUUGGGUGUCAAGCCCGAACGCGUAAUGAAAGUGAACGGAGGUGGGAACCCGCAAGGGUGCACCAUCGACCGAUCCUGAUGUCUUCGGAAGGAUUUGAGUAAGAGCAUGGCUGUUGGGACCCGAAAGAUGGUGAACUAUGCUUGAAUAGGGUGAAGCCAGAGGAAACUCUGGUGGAGGCUCGCAGCGGUUCUGACGUGCAAAUCGAUCGUCAAAUUUGGGCAUAGGGGCGAAAGACUAAUCGAACUAUCUAGUAGCUGGUUCCUGCCGAA